rnacentral:rRNA from 1 species
UACGUAGGUGGCAAGCGUUGUCCGGAUUUACUGGGCGUAAAGGGCUCGUAGGCGGCCAACUAAGUCAUACGUGAAAUCCCUCGGCUUAACCGGGGAACUGCGUCUGAUACUGGAUGGCUUGAGAUUGGGAGAGGGAUGCGGAAUUCCAGGUGUAGCGGUGAAAUGCGUAGAUAUCUGGAGGAAUACCGGUGGCGAAGGCGGCAUCCUGGACCGACAUUGACGCUGAUGAGCGAAAGCUAGGGGAGCAAACGGG